rnacentral:rRNA from 1 species
UUCUUUCGGGAAUGGAAGCGAAAUGAAAGUGGCGAACGGGUGAGUAACACGUGAGCAACCUACCUUACACAGAGGGAUAGCCGUUGGAAACGACGAUUAAUACCGCAUGAGACCACAGAAUCGCAUGAUAUAGGGGUCAAGGAUUUAUCGGUGUAAGAAGGGCUCGCGUCUGAUUAGCUAGUUGGAAGGGUAAAGGCCUACCAAGGCGACGAUCAGUAGCCGGUCUGAGAGGAUGAACGGCCACAUUGGAACUGAGACACGGUCCAAACUCCUACGGGAGGCAGCAGUGGGGAAUAUUGCACAAUGGGGGGAACCCUGAUGCAGCGACGCCGCGUGAGCGAAGAAGGUUUUCGAAUCGUAAAGCUCUGUCCUAUGAGAAGAUAAUGACGGUAUCAUAGGAGGAAGCCCCGGCUAAAUACGUGCCAGCAGCCGCGGUAAUACGUAUGGGGCGAGCGUUGUCCGGAAUUAUUGGGCGUAAAGGGUACGUAGGCGGUUUUUUAAGUCAGGUGUGAAAGCGUGAGGCUUAACCUCAUUAAGCACUUGAAACUGGAAGACUUGAGUGAAGGAGAGGAAAGUGGAAUUCCUAGUGUAGCGGUGAAAUGCGUAGAUAUUAGGAGGAA